GUUGAACGCUGGCGGCGUGCUUAACACAUGCAAGUCGAGCGGAAAGACGGGGAGCUUGCCUCUCUGGCGUUCGCGGCGCGGGGGUGUGUGACAUGUGUGUGACACACCUUGAUGACUGGGGAUAACUAGUGAAACCGGUGCCUAAUCCCGCAUAUCUACUGAAGAGCAAGGUGCAAUAGUUAAGGGCGUCUUUCCUGUAGAUGUUCGCAGAUGCCGGUUGGGAUUAGCUAGUGGGUGGGGUAACGGCUUACCAAGGCCACGAUGCGUAGCCGACCUGAGAGGAUGACCGGCCACACUGGAACUGAGACACGGUCCAGACUCCUACGGGAGGCAGCAGUGGGGAAUAUUGCGCAAUGGGCGAAAGCCUGACGCAGCCAUGCCGCGUGUGUGAAGAAGGUCUUCGGAUUGUAAAGCACUGUUAGUGGGGAGGAAGGGAUGUGGCAGAAUACGUGCACGUAUUGACGGUACCCGAUGAAGAAGCACCGGCUAACUACGUG
rnacentral:rRNA from 1 species